rnacentral:rRNA from 1 species
UAAGGAAUAUUGGUCAAUGGACGCAAGUCUGAACCAGCCAUGCCGCGUGAAGGAUGAAGGUCCUCUGGAUUGUAAACUUCUUUUAUAUGGGACGAAACCCGGGCAUUCCUGCCCGAUUGACGGUACCAUAGGAAUAAGCACCGGCUAACUCCGUG